rnacentral:lncRNA from 1 species
GGCUACUCCAAGCACGCGUCCACCACGUCCUGCUGCCAGUACGACCUCUGCAACGGCGCUGGCCUCACGGCGCCCGCGACCCUGGCCCUGGCCCUCAUACUCCUGGCCACCCUCUGGGGUCUCCUCUAAAGCCCUCUCCCGCCUCCGCAGACUGUCCAGCACAAAGCUCUGAGCAGCACGGACCCCACCCUCUGCCCUCCCAGACCCCCCAGCCACACCCAGGACUGUCUGCAAGAGAACCCGACCUCCCCUGGCCACCCUGGGGUCAGCUUCCAGGUCACGACCUGUUACUUCCAAAAGGCUCUUGUGGGACCACGCCUCCUGAGGCAUCUGUCCAAGGAUGGGGUGCAGGCAGAGUGUGCUGUCGGGGAGGCUUCGGUCGGCCCAGACCACUGAUUCGAAGGCGCCCUCUGCCGCGUCUGCCCUGAAGCUGUGCUGGAGGGGGAGGCGAGAUGAGGGACCCAGGGGUGGGGGGGUGCGCACCCCUCGCCCCCUCCUGAGGAGUGACCAUUGUCCCGCCACCUGCAGCAGGCCCCUGUGCUCUGGCCUGCGGGCCCCGCCGGCAUCCUGAACAAGCGGUGGUGCACCGGCCUUGGCCUCCAGGUCUGCUCCAUCCGGAGGGUUGCCAAGGGCCCUGCAAGCUCCACCUCAGGGAGGGGCUCUCAGGAGCCCCCAUGCCAGCUGGGCAUUGGGAUCCCCAGGGACCCAGGCAUGGGCGUUAUUUAAGGGGCACCCACCCAUGGUGAGGCUGGGGAGGCACAGGUGUGUCCAGGGAGCCCAACCCUCCUUCUUGUGAGACCGGACACGACACGCAGCCACUUUUCCGGGGUCACGCAGCACCAGAGGCCUCCUCACCUGACCACUGCCCCAGUUCCAGUGUUCACAGAGGAGCCCAAGUGGGUGCAACGGUGGCAGGUGCCCAUGUGGGGGGUGGUUCUAGAACUUAGAAGCCCUGGGCCCCGAAGGGUGGCCCCUGUCAGGGGGACCUGUGCUGGAAGUUCCCUCCUGAGAGCUUCCCCCAGGACUGUCAGGCCCCCAGGGAUGGGGACGCUCUGGCAGCCCGGGUCGGGGUCCUUAGGGGCUGGCAGCGUGCUCUGCCCAGACAGCAGGCCUGGUGUCCCGUCCCCCUGAGGCCGGCCAGGUGUGAGUCCCUCCUCAGGGGAAGCUGGGAGGAAGGCAGACCCCACCCCUGGCCCUCAGGAGCGAGUCCCCUUGGAGCUGGCUGCAGGGCCAGUGCAGAUGUAGGUGCCAGCGGGAGGGCGGGCAGCCUGCCCUCCUGACUCAGUGGGCGGGGCCUGGGAAGCGGUCACCACCCUGCUUGUGCAAGCACUCCGUCCUGGUCGUCCGUCCCUCCCUCUGGUCCCAGUGGGCGAUGGCGCUGAGCCCUGCCUGGCCACCUGUGGGCUGUGGGGUCACUAAGAGCAGGGAUCCAGUGGGAGCUGCAGGUGCACAGUGUUGAGCGGGGUGCUUCUCACACCUGCCUCCUGCAUCUGUCCAUCCAUCCUACACCCUGACCUGGUCCCCCCCAGCGCCAGGGACCAUGCUGCCCACCCCACCCCCCUAGAGCAGGUUCUGCCAGGCCAGGCUGUCCCUGCGUCCCGCACAGAGCACACGAAGGUGCUCGGCUCAGGCCGGGCCGGGCCUCCCAGUGGGAGGUGCGCUGCACUGUCAGGGGACUCGGCUGCAGCGCCCCUGGCAAUCAGAGUCAGUUUGUACCUACUGUCUGUCAGUGCAGUUCCCCCGACAGCCCUGCAAGGUAGGAGCUGUCAUCAAGCCCCUUUCACAGAUGAGGAAACAGAGGCACAGAGGGGGCGGGGUAGCCCAAGGUGGGCUGGACUCCUUGUCCGCUGCCCCGCUGUGCAGUCCCUUCUCCCGUCAGCUACGGGAGGGAGGGGAGGCUGGGAAGGUGGGUUUAUAAGUUUAAGAGAACUUUAGCAUGUUAAAUAUAAUACCUUAGGGUCAGAAAAGCUCAGGAGGUUUGGGAAGCCAUGAAGGCCAGACUCAGGGUGUCCAGCCGAGUGCCAGGCCGGGGGUGGCAUAGCAGAGAGGGGACAGAGGGGCGCCAGGUGCCCCAUCUGCAUCAGGACCAAGGAUCGUGGUAGGGAGAGGCCCAGGUUCCUCCCGGGAGCCGGCCUCUGUGUCUCGGGAGUGGCGGCUCGACCCUGACGGCCCCUCCUGUGGAGCCUUGUAUUCUGCGUUGGCCUGGAAUCAGCCAAGAGGCUGGCACCACAGCAUCGAGCUGGGGUCAGGGUCGGGUCUGGCCAUCACGAGGAAGGUGUGGUGCGCCGGCUGCUGGUGCCCUGGUGCCACAGGGCGGGGAGGGGCACAGCCCCGCCCACCUCCCUUUGCCGCGAGUGUCUGAUGGGUGGUGAUGAGUGUGUAUUUUCUUCCUGAUUCUAAACUUCGGAAAAAGUGAAAA